GUGUUUGCCCAGGCUUGCGGACCCCUCUUAAUACACCCGACAGCUGCAUUCUUGGAGCGCGCGUGCGUUCGCCCUAUGGAAUCUGUUGCACCACGCCGACCUUUUCCACAGAAAACGGGCUCAGUGGAGAAUGCACGUCAUCCGGACCGACCUGUCCCCAUUCAGAGCCUCUCUGAAGAUUUGCUGCUGGUUGGGGAAUUCGAAGCUGAGCGAUGUGUCAGGGGUUGUCAUAUAAAAUGCCCGUCAGACGUUAUCGCCUGGCUUUCAUAACCUCCCAACGACUCAUUGCGGCCGUCCAGGAUGAUGGAGCGAUGGAAAAGUUUGUCUUCGCCAUAAAUGAAACUUAGCAGAAAUGGUCCAUUAUGUGCCAAAUGAGUAAUUUGUGUGGGCAAUGUCUAAGGUUAAUUCUGCCGUCAUUAAAACAUCCUGAAUAGUCUGGAAACGCUCUUACGCGUCGCGAUGCCGUGAGAAUAGAAAUCGCUUGUUAGCUACUUUCAGUUCACCAUCUGCUCCACGUGGAGUUUUGGUGUCACUAAAUGGUUUUCUGUGUCUUGCAGAGCUGCCAGGACGGAGGAUUUAAUCAUUUUACAGAAAGGAACGCGUUUAAUGUUCAUUUGUUUGUCGCUCCAUGUUAGUAUUGGUGUGGUUAAUUAAAAAACAAUAAAAACAGCCCACAUUUAUUAUAUUGUGUAAUUAAUAUUAGUAAAAUAGAGGUGUCAAACUGAUCUUUGUGUUCUGUAUGAGACAUUUUAGAGAAAUUAAAUCUCUCUUUUGUUUUCAUUUCACUGUCUCUACACCAACCGAGACACACGUGGCGGCACUA